GACGAACGCUGGCGGCGUGCUUAACACAUGCAAGUCGAGCGGUAAGGCCCUUUCGGGGGUACACGAGCGGCGAACGGGUGAGUAACACGUGGGUGACCUGCCCUCAGCUCUGGGAUAAGCCUGGGAAACCGGGUCUAAUACUGGAUAUGACUCCAUGACGCAUGUUGUGGGGUGGAAAGCCUUGUGCGGCUGAGGAUGGGCCCGCGGCCUAUCAGCUUGUUGGUGGGGUNANGGCCUACCAAGGCGACGACGGUAGCCGGCCUGAGAGGGCGACCGGCCACACUGGGACUGAGACACGGCCCAGACUCCUACGGGAGGCAGCAGUGGGGAAUCUUGCGCAAUGGGCGAAAGCCUGACGCAGCGACGCCGCGUGA
rnacentral:rRNA from 1 species